GCCUGGGUGGCUCAGUUGGUUGAGCGUCUGACUUCAGCUCAGGUCAUAAUCUCGUGGUCUGUGAGUUCGAGCCCCGCAUCGGGCU
rnacentral:tRNA from 1 species